AUCACCGAAGUUAAUCAUCAUUGGGCGCGGUCAGUACUUGGGUGGGUGACCACCUGGGAACACUGCGUGCCGUU